rnacentral:rRNA from 1 species
GAUUAGGGGCGGCAGGCUACCAUGCAAGUCGAGCGGAUGAAGGGAGCUUGCUCCUGGAUUCAGCGGCGGACGGGUGAGUAAUGCCUAGGAAUCUGCCUGGUAGUGGGGGAUAACGUCCGGAAACGGGCGCUAAUACCGCAUACGUCCUGAGGGAGAAAGUGGGGGAUCUUCGGACCUCACGCUAUCAGAUGAGCCUAGGUCGGAUUAGCUAGUUGGUGGGGUAAAGGCCUACCAAGGCGACGAUCCGUAACUGGUCUGAGAGGAUGAUCAGUCACACUGGAACUGAGACACGGUCCAGACUCCUACGGGAGGCAGCAGUGGGGAAUAUUGGACAAUGGGCGAAAGCCUGAUCCAGCCAUGCCGCGUGUGUGAAGAAGGUCUUCGGAUUGUAAAGCACUUUAAGUUGGGAGGAAGGGCAGUAAGUUAAUACCUUGCUGUUUUGACGUUACCAACAGAAUAAGCACCGGCUAACUUCGUGCCAGCAGCCGCGGUAAUACGAAGGGUGCAAGCGUUAAUCGGAAUUACUGGGCGUAAAGCGCGCGUAGGUGGUUCAGCAAGUUGGAUGUGAAAUCCCCGGGCUCAACCUGGGAACUGCAUCCAAAACUACUGAGCUAGAGUACGGUAGAGGGUGGUGGAAUUUCCUGUGUAGCGGUGAAAUGCGUAGAUAUAGGAAGGAACACCAGUGGCGAAGGCGACCACCUGGACUGAUACUGACACUGAGGUGCGAAAGCGUGGGGAGCAAACAGGAUUAGAUACCCUGGUAGUCCACGCCGUAAACGAUGUCGACUAGCCGUUGGGAUCCUUGAGAUCUUAGUGGCGCAGCUAACGCGAUAAGUCGACCGCCUGGGGAGUACGGCCGCAAGGUUAAAACUCAAAUGAAUUGACGGGGGCCCGCACAAGCGGUGGAGCAUGUGGUUAAUUCGAAGCAACGCGAAAACCUUACCUGGCCUUGACUGCUGAGACUUUCCAGAGAUGGAUUGGUGCUUCGGGACUCAGACCAGUGCUGCUGCUGCCGUCAGUCGGGCCUGGAAUGUGGGUAAGCCCGUACGAGGCACCUUGCCUAGUACCAGCCUCGGUGGCCUCUAAGG